ACGACUUUACUUAAACAGGAUUUGUUCUACAGGCUCGUACCACUGUAUCCUUUCGUCCUAAGGGGACAUAUUACCAAGUCUGUUAGAUGAAUCUUGACCGCGAGAUCAGAGCGUCAUUGACAACUUCGGUGAUCUGCGGUCACCGGCACCGGGGGUGGUGUUGUCCGGCGGACC